rnacentral:rRNA from 1 species
GUCGAGAAUCUUUCACAAUGGGGGCAACCCUGAUGGAGCGACGCCGCGUGGAGGAUAAGGUCUUCGGAUUGUAAACUCCUGUCAUGCGUGAACAAGGUUGCUUGGGUAAUACCUGGGCAAAUUGAUGGUAACGCAAGAGGAAGAGACGGCUAACUCUGUGCCAGCAGCCGCGGUAAUACAGAGGUCUCAAGCGUUGUUCGGAAUCACUGGGCGUAAAGGGUGCGUAGGUGGCGUGGUAAGUCAGAUGUGAAAGCCCGGGGCUCAACCUCGGAACUGCAUCCGAUACUGCCAUGCUAGAGUACUGGAGAGGUGACUAGAAUUCUCGGUGUAGCAGUGAAGUGCGUAGAUAUCGAGAGGAAUACCAAAGGCGUAGGCAGGUCACUGGACAGUUACUGACACUGAGGCACGAAGGCCAGGGGAGCGAACGGGAUUAGAUACCCUGGUAGUCC